GCCAGACUCCUACGGGAGGCAGCAGUGGGGAAUAUUGCACAAUGGGGGAAACCCUGAUGCAGCGACGCCGCGUGAGCGAUGAAGUAUUUCGGUAUGUAAAGCUCUAUCAGCAGGGAAGAAAAUGACGGUACCUGACUAAGAAGCCCCGGCUAACUACGUGCCAGCAGCCGCGGUAAUACGUAGGGGGCAAGCGUUAUCCGGAUUUACUGGGUGUAAAGGGAGCGUAGACGGCGGUGCAAGCCAGAUGUGAAAGCCCGGGGCUCCACCCCGGGACUGCACUUGGAACUGUGCUGCUAGAGUGGCGGAGAGGCAGGCGGAAUUCCUAGUGUAGCGGUGAAAUGCGUAGAUAUUAGGAGGAACACCGGUGGCGAAGGCGGCCUGCUGGACUGCGACUGACGUUGAGGCCCGAAAGCGUGGGGAGCAAACAGGAUUAGAUACCCCAGUAUAG
rnacentral:rRNA from 1 species